ensembl:lncRNA
AGCUAAGGUAGUUUGGACAUUCUGUAACCUGAUCUCUCCUCAGACACCAACUAGCUCUCGAAGACUCACGUCAGGUUUAGAUGUUCAGCCACGUUUUCUCAAACAAUGCACUUAUUUACAGCAGGUAGUGAAUGUGGCUAGUUACAGGGGACAGGUGGUGCCCACAGUCCCUACAGCCCUACAGGGGACAGGUGGUGUCCACAGUCCCUACGGCCCUACAGGGGACAGGUAGUGCCCACUUUCCCUACGGCCCUAUAGGGGACAGGUGGUGCCCACAGUCCCUACGGCCCUACAGGGGACAGGUGGUGCCCACUUUCCCUAC